rnacentral:rRNA from 1 species
GUGCCAGCCGCCGCGGUAAUACGGAGGGGGCUAGCGUUGUUCGGAUUGACUGGGCGUAAAGCGCGCGUAGGCGGAUCGUCAAGUCGGGGGUGAAAUCCCGGGGCUCAACCCUGGAAUGGCCUUCGAGACUGGCGGUCUUGAGUUCGAGAGAGGUGGGUGGAAUUCCGAGUGUAGAGGUGAAAUUCGUAGAUAUUCGGAGGAACACCAGUGGCGAAGGCGGCCCACUGGCUCGACACUGACGCUGAGGCGCGAAAGCGUGGGGAGCAAACAGGAUUAGAUACCCCGGUAGUCC